GACGAACGCUGGCGGCGUGCUUAACACAUGCAAGUCGAACGGAAAGGCCCUGCUUUUGUGGGGUGCUCGAGUGGCGAACGGGUGAGUAACCCGUGAGUAACCUUCCCUGGACUGUGGGAUAACUUCAGGAGACUGGGGCUAAUACCGGAUAGGAGCUCCUGCUGCAUGGGGGGGGUUGGAACGUUUCGGCGGGUGGGGGUGGACUCGCGGCUUAUCAGCUUGUUGGUGGGGUAGUGGCUUACCCAGGCUUUGACGGGUGGCCGGCCUGAGAGGGUGACCGGCCACAUUGGGACUGAGAUACGGCCCAGACUCCUACGGGAGGCAGCAGUGGGGAAUAUUGCACAAUGGGCGGAAGCCUGAUGCAGCAACGCCGCGUGCGGGAUGACGGCCUUCGGGUUGUAAACCGCUUUCGCCUGUGACGAAGCGUGAGUGACGGUAAUGGGUAAAGAAGCACCGGCUAACUACGUG
rnacentral:rRNA from 1 species